UACGGAGGGUGCAAGCGUUAAUCGGAAUUACUGGGCGUAAAGUGUGCGCAGGCGGCCGCGCAAGUCGAGUGUGAAAGCCCCGGGCUUAACUUGGGAAUUGCGCUCGAAACUACGUGGCUGGAGUGUGGCAGAGGAAGGUGGAAUUCCACGUGUAGCGGUGAAAUGCGUAGAGAUGUGGAGGAACACCAAUGGCGAAGGCAGCCUUCUGGGCCAACACUGACGCUCAUGCACGAAAGCGUGGGGAGCAAACAGG
rnacentral:rRNA from 1 species